AAACAAUGUCCGCUCUAGCUCGUUGACAUUCAAUUGAAAGAACUGGCAAACAAAGCCACCACGCAGCAUCACACAUCACAAAAGACGAAAUUCCCAAGGUGAUAUUGAACGCCACUUUAACUUCUACACUGAGGAGAAGGCACUCAAGACAGAUAUCCGUUCAUGUUGUCUGCAAGUGAUUCCAGACGUUUCAGCACCUGUGCUGGACAGUGGAUUGCUGAAAGGGAAAACACCCAAUUGGUUUCGAUGGCCAUUAAUAAUUGGAGAGCAGCAUUGGAAUGCAACAGCUUGUCUGGCUUCGUCUGGACCUAAGUUACUUCUAGAGAACCUUGAAUAACUGAUCAGUGGUUUCGUGUGUUCUUAGAAUUUAUGAGUCCUUGAAGAAAAAGGACAAUGGCAAUACAGUGGUAAACCCGAUGGCUGAGGUAUGGCUCCCUCUUGAUUUGAGGGGUAACUCCUUUGCUAAUUUUAAUGGACUUCAUCCAAUUGGUAAAAGCUGACAAGAGAAUGCUGUGAUUCAAGACUGAUAGAUUGUGUAGUUGUUAGAUAAAUCACAAGUGUAUAUCUGGGCUCCCUUCUUUACUGUGGUCUGAUCUCCCUGGCUACAGUCAAUUAAGGCAGUGUGACCCCCGUCUUCAUUGACUACCUGUGCAAGUUUUAGAAGCAGUUUAUCACCCAAAUGGAACAAAAGGAGUUUGUUAGGCUUCUUUUAUUUGGGUAUAAUUGGUUUUAAAACUUGCACAGAAAAACAACUGUCUUGUACCGGACGCUUUGUUUAUUAGAUUACAACCAUUUUGAUUAAAAA